UCAUCAGCGAAGCACGAGCCAGAACAUCGUUAGCAAAACAAAACAAAACGAACAAAACAAAAAAGCCUUGUUUAAUUGACGUUUUUCCAACUAUACGUUGCACAGGAGGUGGACGUCCCAGAUGCCCGGAGUGACGUGAUUGUCAGACCAGCAAGUGAUUCCAAGGACAAGCGUGAGAAAUUCCCGGCGAGUAGGAGUCGGUAAAGCGCAUCGACAGAACAUCCGUCGACCGCUUUGAUGCGGCAGUCAAGGGUUCUCCCAGACUCCUGGAAAUCAUUACAAACCAAGGAUUUGACACCCACCCAAAAGAAAAGUGAUGAAUCACCAAGAGG